UUAGGUUGUCCGAAAAGUUCCUUUCGUUUCAUAAGGUGAUAAUAGAUGAACAACAAUUUCUGUUUUAUAUUAUUUUAUUGAAUUAGGCAUGAUCCAUUUCGUUGUAUUUCUAUUAUUAUGUUCGUGCAUAAUUCAAUAAUCUAAUAUGAAACAAAAAACAUUGUGCGUCUAUUGGUUCCUUAUAAAACGAAAGAAACUUUUCGGACAACCUAAUACAAUAGAAGAUCUUUUUCAUAGGAAAAUGAACUUGCAACCGGUCCAACCAUUGGAAUAACAAUUUCGCAAAGUUCAAGUGGAUUUUUUUAACGUAGUAACGUCCCGUCCCCGUCCCAUCCUCGAGAGAGCAAGUAGGGCAGUACGUCGCGUCGUGGCGAAUCUCACGCCGCGCAGUCUUUGUCCCGUUGUUGCCGCUUAGUCUUGCUAUUUCUGGUCCGGCCAGAAGCUUUUUGUUUAUUCCGUUCCUUUUGCAACGACCCCGACGCAACCCCCGAGCCAUCGCUGGUCGCACCCUAGAAACGCGCGGCGCCGACACGAACCAGGCCACGUACCCUACGGAACCGGCCAAUUUCAGAGACGGAAUUAGGCUUCGUAAAGGCGCUCGUUAUUCGCGCCGCUGCCCUUCUUCGACCCUCUUCUCCUCUUGCACGCGGCACCAAGCUUCCUUUAGUCUUCAGUAGGUUACUCGGCUUCUUGGAAGUAUUUUAAUCCGCGAGGUAAUUAAACAAGUCUAAAAAAAAUCUUCACGAUCGUGUCUUAUGAUUUUGACCAACAACUAUAAAAUAAAACCACCUAACUAUAAUAACUACAAUAUGAUGUAUAUGUAACGGAGAUACCAUCGCAAUUCAGCGUUAUGAUUUAGUUUACAUGUUUACACUAACAUAACUCAUCAGUUUAUUAGGUUAAAAGAUGUAGGUAAGACUUUUGAUAAGUCGAUGAAAUUUUGUGGAACUCAAAGAUGUAAUUAUUAAGACGAGCUAUGUUUCAAUAAUAUGACGAGUACAUUAUUUUUGAAAUUUUCAAGAAGACGAAGAAGCACCAAAUAAAAUUAAACUAAAUGAAAAGACGAUAUUGGCAAUGUACUAAUGGAAUUGACUGACAACAUACGGAAUCUUAAAACCGCUUUCCUUUACAAAAAUAGCAGAUAUGAUUCAUAGUGUGGUUCUCGUCUGGUAUCAUAUGAAUUCGUAAUAAUUCAAUUGUGUCAGAUUGUCCAGGUAUACGAUUCCCGAGAACAAGUUGCUCAGACAGCUUCCGUCGUCCCGUUACUUGGACCGGCAGUGUCAACCGAUUCGUCUCUUUAGCGCCGCGCCGCACCGCGGUCCGGGAAAUGUAGUACAUUGAACGGUACCACUCGAACGGACGCCAUUCGACAAAGUUGCACUGGCUCCCGUUCGAAUUCAACGUUAUAUUACUCAAACUAUUCCAUGGUAAACUUCUCUUUACUUUAUACAUUUCGAAAUCAAAAUGGUUAUCUAACGUAGCGACUUACAUAGGUCAGCCAAGAAGCAAGUUACUUGGCUUCUCAAAUUUCUGUUCCAAAAGAGACAAUAUAAUUGCCACUGUAGUCAUAGGUGGCUAUAUAUGUAAACGUAACAUUGUAGCUGAUGUGUACUAAGUGUGAACUCGAUUGCUACGAUCAGAUAUUACGGUCUGUUAAACAUGGAGCAUCGUGUAACAAACAAACAUGACAUCACAUUGCGAAAGAAAAACAUGAUCGAGUAAUAUUUUUCUUCUUAUCACAACUACAUCUUUUUAUUCGAUUUUAGAAUUAAAUACGUAUUUCGGUCAUUUCAAAAAUAUUGAUUUAUAAGCUUAAUUCCCAUUUUUAAAUUCUUUUUCCAUUCGUUCGUAUCCUUUUUUUUUUUUUUUUUUUUAGAGCAAUGUGGUAGGAAGUCGUUUACUUGUUUAUUAACUGAGUCUGCCUAGACAUUGAAUCAUCUUCAAUUCAUUUUCCAACAUAUCGACGAAAACAACUUCGCCGCGGAGUUUCUGCAUUGUUAAAGAGUCGCGCGAGUGUCUUGGAAGUGUGUCGAGGAAUCCGGACAGUUUGAUACAUGCCUAUUUAUAGGAAUGAAGAUUCAUUACGCGAGGUCCCGUUUCGCGUGUAUCGGCGGCUCGUUUUAGCGUUGUGCAACAUCGUAACGUAAUAUUUCCCGCGAGCGUGCUAGUCGCGAGACGUUGAGAAAAUUGCUUUCCACUCCGAUCCUUUUUCGAAGUCUCUAUGGAGAUUCUCCUUCGUGGUCCCCGAUAAUGUACUCAUUCAACGAUAUUAUAGUGGCAUACAUGUAUAGUAUAUACACUACUGUUCAUCAGUGUACGAACAUUAAAGUAAAUUUUUGGUAAUAGCGUAUAAAUGUUUUAUCAUAAUACAAACUGAUAGUAAAUUAAAAAGUGGAAGCAGUAUUUACCACCUUUUUAUGGAAUUCAUAGAUAAUAUUGAUUUAAAAUAUUAGCAAUAGUAUAUUAUAUGGUAUAUAAUGUUAUAUAGUAUAUCUUUCUCUACAAUCACAUUAAUGAACUCGUUGAUUUUAGAUAUCACUCCUUGAAAUAAUGUUCGUAGUUUUUUAAAUAGCGAAACUAUUUCGCAGCCUUUGGUAACGACGUACGUCGAUUUUAUUAUUGCAUAUUGGUUUUCAAAAACCAAUUUAAUCAUAUCAUAAUAGUCUAAUAUUUCGAUAAUAGAAUCUUGAUGAUGAUCCAUUAACGAUAGGACACUGUCAAAGGGGGCGAGAUUAGACACGUAAGUAAUAUUUUUAGUAGAGAAAGAAAUUUUAUAAAAAAGAGCACGUAAAUCAGGGAAAGCGUGGGUGCUCGGAGGAAUAGUAUGUAGUUCGUCAUCCCUCUCGGUUCAGUUCGGCUAACUUCGCCGCUUAUGCAACAGUCCCGCGUCCUGUGCACGUGCUUGCGACCACGUGGACAUUGGUCACGUUACGCUGGCCAAUAUCACUGAAAAUGGAAUUAUUCUUACGUAGCCGCGUAAGCUCGUAACGACAAAACCUGCCGGUCCCGUAGAAGCCACGAUGACCGACACGUGAACAUCGCUUUUGGAUUGCCGGGUCUUCCUAUACGGUUACAUUUGCAAAUUGUAAAGCCCGGCAGCAGUUUGUAACAAGCAACGAUUGAGAGAGCAGAGGAACGGAAAUUCCAUUUUUAUUUGCAGCGAAGUGGUUGAUGCCGAGGUUUCGAGGUUUCGAGCUUCAGAUUUAUGGAAUUAGGAUAUGAAAGAAAGAAAGAAAUAGAGAAAUAUCUUAUAUAAUACAACAAGGGAGAAGAUUGCUAAUCGAUUUUCAUGAUUUUGGCUAUUAUAAUAAUUCUGGCGUAUUAUA